rnacentral:rRNA from 1 species
GUGCCAGCCGCCGCGGUAAUACGGAGGGUGCGAGCGUUAAUCGGAAUUACUGGGCGUAAAGCGCAUGCAGGCGGUUUGUUAAGUCAGAUGUGAAAGCCCGGGGCUCAACCUCGGAACCGCAUUUGAAAUUGGCAGGCUAGAGUCUUGUAGAGGGGGGUAGAAUUUCAGGUGUAGCGGUGAAAUGCGUAGAGAUCUGAAGGAAUACCAGUGGCGAAGGCGGCCCCCUGGACAAAGACUGACGCUCAGAUGCGAAAGCGUGGGUAGCAAACAGGAUUAGAAACCCCGGUAGUCC